AGUUUGAAUCUCUCUCAGUCAGGGGGGAGAUUGACUGACAGACGGUCUACUUGCCACCAAACAGUAAUUUACCCUGAAACCUUUUACAGUUUAUCACAAAUGUUUCCCGUGGAAGUUUGAAUCUCUCUCAGUCAGGGGGGAGAUUGACUGACAGACAGUCUACUUGCCACCAAACAGUAAUUUACCCUGAAACCUUUUUAAGUAAGGACUAACGUUAACUGACUGUCUGUCUGCUCUCAACCAAACAGUCAUUCAAGACCUUUUAAAGUUUAGCGCAAACGUUUCCUGCGCAAGUUUGAAUCUCUCAGUCAGGGGGGAGAUUGACUGACUGACUGACUGUCUACUCGCCACCAAACAGUCAGUUACACAGAGGUAACAAGUAAGGACUAACGUUAACUGACUGUCUGUCUGUCAGUCUGUCUGCUCUCAACCAAACAGUCAUUCAAGACCUUUUAAAGUUUAGUGCAAACGUUUCCAGCGCAAGUUUGAAUCUCUCUCAGUCAGGGGGGAGAUUGACUGACAGACUGUCUUCUCGCCACCAAACAGUAAUCUACACAGAAACCUUUUAAAGUUUAGCACAAACGUUUCCCGCGCAAGUUUGGAUCUUUACCAUUGAGGGUGGCUGACUGUUUUCGACCAACCAUCAUUCACACGCAAAAACUUUAAAGAUAAGUAUGAACGUGCCCAGAGCACGAUCUUUACCAUUAAGGAGGCUGACUGACUAUCCUCUACCACCCGUCAUUAACACAAGAAAAACUAAAGAAAUGUUACUCCAUAUGGACCUAUUCAUUUACUCAUUAUGCUGUGAGUACACCACAGUUUUAUCAGGGAAAAAAAUGUAUAUUUGUGUGUUUCUCACUGCUUGACAAGGACAGAUGUGGCCCUGUUAAAAUUUUUUAGAUGUUGUUUGGUUUAAGGAACAGCACACUGAUUUUGUUUUAAAAUAUUCCUGUUUGGACAGUCUGUUAUAGUCAUAAAGGAAUACUUGAUAUAUUUCAUAAGUAAAGUGUAAUGUAAUAUUAGUUUUUAAUGUUGUGAAUUUGGACUGAA